UACGGUGAAUACGUUCCCGGACCUUGCAACACACCGCCCGUCAAGCCAUGGAAGCCGGGUGUACCUAAAGUCGGUAACCGUAAGGAGCCGCCUAGGGUAAAACUGGUGACUGGGGCU
rnacentral:rRNA from 1 species